UCCGGCACUCUCGCGAUGUUUGUUUUCCAUGUGUAUUUUGGUAUCGGUGGAGGUUUUGAGUAAGGGGAUCAGGAAACCCGGCUGUGACGGGAGUGAAAAACCCCGGAGUUUGAGAGGAGCGUGAGGCAAUUCGACAGGCCAGGCGGAGAGUUUGGCGGAUUGUCCCCUCUACCUCCUUGCAACGCUGGCUUCCCCCCGCCCCCCAGCUCCCGAGCGGGAGCGACUGAAAAUUGUCAUCGACGGGUUCCUCUGACAACUUUCUGGAAAGUUGCUUUGCUCCAAAACCAGGCCUCACAUUGAGGAGGGAAAUCGGAGAUGCCCUACAGUCUUCACCUAGAUGACCUUAGGUAAUACCCCAUAUGGCCACUUGAUGGCGCCCAAGAAUCUUCUCCUUCACUUUGCUCACAUGAUCCAGGAAUGGCUCACAUGAAUAAAGCAGGUAAUUCUCUGUAUCACCAGCUGUUCAACAGUUCGACUCAAUUCUGGCACUAUCUACCUGGAGAAGAAAAGUUUUGAAUCAAUGAUCUAAGUGGUCACCUGAAGUAGUGAGGAAAAGAAGAAAUUAAAUUGAAAGUAACAGGAAGAAAGGCAAUAAUAAAGACAAGAGUAGAAAUCUGUGAAAUAGAAAACCAACAAAAAUAAAGAAAUCCAAAAGUUGGGUCUUGGAAAAGGUGAAUGAAAUUAAUAAACCCUAUAAAGACUUAGCAAAAAAAGAGACAGAAAAUAAAAGUGAGACCAGUGUACACAAAAAUAGACACACAGAUUAAUAGAACAGAAUAGAGAGCCCAGAAAUAAACCCAUGAUUAUAUGGUCAAUUAACCUACAACAACAGAGGCAAGAAUAUCCAAGGGGAAAAGACAGGCUCAAUGAAUGGUGUUGGGAAAACUGGACAGCUCCAUGCAGAAGAAUGAAACUGGACCAUUUUCUUUCACCACACACAAAAACAAAUUCAAAAUGGAUUAAAGAGCUCAUGUGACACCUGAAACUAUAAAACUCCUGAAAGAAAAUAGGCAGUAAUUUCUUUGACAUCGGCCAUCGCAACAUGUCUCUAGCUGUCUCCUCAAGCAAGAAAAACAAAAGAAAAAAUAAACUGUUAGAACUAUACCAACAUAAAAAGCUUUUGUGCAGUGAAGGAAAUCAACAAAAUGAAAAGACAACUUGAGGUGCCUCGGUGGCAUAGUUGGUUAAGUAUCUGACUCUUGGUUUCAGCUUAAGUUGUGAUCUCAGGGUCAUGGGGUCGAGCCCUGAAUCAGGUCUAUGUUCUGGGGGGGUCUGCUUAAGAUUUUCUUUCCCUCUCUCCCUGCCCCUCCUUCCAUGCUCUUUUUUGUUCUCUCUCUCUAAAAGAAACCUUCAAAGAACCUCAACACUAAAACACAACUCAACACUAAAAAAAACAAGUAAUCUGAUUAAAAAUGGGCAGAGGACAUGAAUAGUCAGGUUCUCUUUUCCAAAGUAGACCUACAGAUGCCCAACAGACACAUGAAAAGAUGCUCAACACCACUCAUCAUCAGGGAAAUACAAAUCAAAACCACAAUGAGAGAUCAGUUUGAAGCUGUCUGAAUGGCUAAAAUAAAACACACAAGAAACAAUAAAUGUUGGUGAUGAUGUGGAGAAAAAGGAACCCUUGUGUACUGUUGGUGGGAAUGCAAACUGGUGCAGCCACGGUGGAAAGCAGGCAUUCCUCAAGUUACAAAAAGAAUUACCAUAUGAACCAGUAAUUCCACUUCUGGGUAUUUCCCAAGGAAAAUGAAAAUACUAAUUCAGAAAGUUAUAUACACCCCUAUGUUGAUAGCAGCGUUAUUUACAAGAGCCAAGAUAUGGAGGCAGCCCAAGUGUCCACUGAGAGAUGAAUGGAUAAAGAAGAUGUGGUGUAUACAUACAGGAAUAUUACUCAACCAUUUUUUAAAAAGUAUGAGAUUGUUCCACUUGCAAUAAUAUAGUUGAACCUCUAGGGCAUUACGCUUUGUGAAAUAAAUAAGAAAGAUAAAUGCCAUAUGAUUUCACUUGAACAUGGAAUCUAAAAAACAGAACAAACAAAAGAGGGAAACAGACUCAUGAAAGAAGGCCACCAACGGCCUAACGCAAGGUCAUCAUGUCUAUGUCAUCCUGUUCACAGAGGCAUUUUAUCAUCUCACAUCCUCACAAGAAGAAGGGGGGUUACAGACAGUAAGAUAUUCAGAGAAAGAGAUCAUGUUCACCUAACUUUUAUCAGAGUAUUGUUAUAAAUGUUCUAUUUUUAUCAUUAGUUAUUGCUGCUAAUCUCUUACUGUGCCUAAUUUAUAAAUGAAUUUAUUUACCUUUUAUUAUAGGGAUGUACAUGUAGUAGAAAACACCGAGUAUAUAGAGUUUGGUACUAUCUGCGAUUUCAGCAUCCACGGGGCGAGGGGUGGGGGGACUUGGAACGUAUUCCCCGUGGGUAAGGGGUGACCACCAUAUAUCAGAAUACAAAUUUAAACACAGUAGGUGAGAUGUGCAAACCAAUAAUAUUGAGCGACUCAAAUUUUUGUCAAGAGAGUUGUCUUUGCUGAACCAAAGAUGAGAGGGGGCAAAGCGUGGGAAAGAAUAAAAGUGAUGGUUAAAGAAAUGGAAGGCCUGAGCCCUCAGAUACCCCCAGCGCUCGCUCAGCUGGGGGGUCAGGAGCCCAGUCUCUCUCAUGUGGGUCAGGAGCCCACAUGCCUGCACCAGAGCUCUCUGAGCUGCAGCACCUUUCCGCUUCAGUUUGCGUCCUCUUCUGGACAUUUCUUACCCUCCCCCCCACCUAAACUCCUCUUGCAGCUCUAACCUAAACACCAUGUGAAGCCAAGACUUCUCUACCAUGUUACAAGGAAGAGGCCUGAGUCUUAUGGGAGGGAGAAGGCAGGCUUUUAAAUUUAGACAUGGUGAAUGAAAGCAAGUCUCAUGCUGCAUCUGAAUCAGAAACGAGGCAGAGACCCUUCUUUAUUCUAAAAGCCAACAGCUGCUCAGAGGCAAGCAGAUUGAACCACUUCCUCCUAGCUCAGAAACUCUGAGUACACACACACACACACACACACACACACACCCCGCAUGCACACACACACAUACACACACAUUUAUAUACGCAUAUGGUUAGAAGAACGAAAGGAAGGAGCACAAAGAAAAAUAAUUCAUUGAUGAUGUCAUUUGCAUCUUUGGUGCACAGCUAUGUGUUUCAUGUCACAUGGUGUCCUGCAAAAAAGCACGUUCAUGAGUCCAGGCAAUUCUCUCAAGGCAGGAGGUUAAGGAUUACAUUACAGAUAAGCACUAACUGACCAAUUAAGACAGACUAGUCACUUUUAUAAAACACACACAGAGAGAUGGUACUUCUUUUUUUAGAUUCUCAUGAAAAAUUUCAAACACACACAGAAUAGUGUCAUGGUCCCCUCCUAUACCCAUCACCCAGACGGAACAUUCCAAUUACACUGAGUUGGAAGAAAUCAUGAAACAGGAAGUCUGCAGUUUGGGAUACAGAAUAGGGCAUAGUUAAAUUUAGCUUUACUGGGAACUCGCUCCAAUUUGAUUAAUCAGCUAAUCAAAGCUCUUUGUCUGAUUUCAGUUCCCUGAUCGGCGUAAAGAAAGGCUAUUCACAGCUCACCAUCUGUGCCAGGUUUCUAUAGGUCCGGGUCGAAUGCUCAUGCUCUGUUCAAGAUUCUCGUUCUUAACCGAUCCCUUUCUAAUUGGGUUGGGGAAAAAAGAUGAUUUACAUUAUUUUCUGUAUUUCUUUCAACAAAAAGGAGACUUUUUAAACUGUGAUCUGCCGUGUUUGAGAGGGUGGCAGGGUCCCCAUGUGGAGAUGAUCCCUUGGUCAAGGGAGCUCUGCCUCUGGCCCUCAGGACGGCACGUCUGUUAGAAGGAUAGUUCAUAGCCCCAGAGACGAUGUCAGGAAAGAAGAGUGCAGGGGAACCUGGGCGGCUCAGUGUUUGAGCGGCUGCCUUCAGCUCAGGGUGUGAUCCUGGGGUCCUGGGAUUGAGUCCCACAUCAGGCUCCCUGCAUGGAGCCUGCUUCUCCCUCUGCCUGUGUCUCUGUCUCUCUCUGUGUGUCUCUCAUGAACAAAUAAGUAAAGUCUUUAAAAAAAUUAAUUAAAAAAAAAAAAGAAAAGAAUACAGACGGAGGGGAAAGCCCGAGUGGAAUUCUGUGGGACACUCCCAUUGGGCACAGGUCAGAGCGAGGUCCUGAGACACAGCCCUGGGAGAACAGAGGAAACGCAUGGCUAGCCCUACAGAGGGAACCUCAGGUGCUGACAUCCCUCAGCAGGAGAAGGGCAUGGCACAGAGACGAUGAGGCAGAGAUAAAAAUCUAAUUUUGACACAGCCUGUCUCAUCCCUCUCCCCCUGCCUCGUUGGUCUCUUGUCCUUCUGGAAUCCCUGGUCCCCUGGGGAAAACUACCCUUACUCCUUUACCCUGGUCCCCUUGUCACCGUCUUCCUGGGGAGACUAGUUCCUCCGGGACUAGUUAAUGCCUACUCAAGGGUCUCAUCUCAGCCUCAAGUUGUCUUUCCUGACCUUCCAGUGACAUCAGACCCCACCAUUCUUUGCUCUGUGCUUUUCCUCUCUAAAAUAUCUAAGUGAUUAUUGUGUAUCUUCCUGACUCUUCAUUCGUUAACUACUGCCCUGAGUACAUGGUCAACUCCUUGAGGGUAGAGACUAGGUCUGUUUUGUUCACAAGGUGAAUACCAAUUGCCUCCCUCAGUGGCUGGCCUGAGUUGUGCUCAAUAGAAACAGAACAAAUGAAUGAGUGAAUGAAUGAAUGAAGGCAAGGAGGUGUUGGCCCACUCCCAGGACUCAAGGCCAGAUAUUCUUUCUGGAUCUGCUCAGAAGUUCCAAUCAAUCGUCUGCAGUUCUGCUCCCAAGCCUGGGGAAGGCCAGCCGUUGCCGUCCCCUCCUGCUGCUCCCACGGCCAGAGUCCCGGCUGGGGUCAGGCCAGCCUCCUGCGCUCUGGCCUCAGCUCAGCCCUGCCCGGUCAUGAUCAUUCUAGCAGGAUCUGUCUCAGGGGCCUGGGGAGGGUGGAGGCCAGACUGAAGCGAGUGGGAGGUGAGGACAGAGAGACAGUGGGUGCAGACAGUGUUUUCACGAGUUUGGCUUUGAAGGGGAGGAGAGAAUUAGGGUGGUAGCUGCAAGGAGCCCGAAGGUGGUCACAGCAGGGUUUUUUGUUGUUGUUGUUGUUUUUGUUUUUUUAAUUUGGGGAGAGAUUUAAACACAUUUAAAGGUUUCAGUUAGGAGGAGGAGGCUGAAUAAACAGAAGAGAGAAAGAAUCCAGGGAAGAGGAGCAAAGUCACCUCCAAAAGGCCCACGGAUGUUAAUGCCAGCUCCUUCUGCCUCACGGCUGGCUGAGGCCUCUGACAAGUGGGGCUGCCGCUCCCCCAUUUCCACGUGGGAUGCUGGAGCUCCCAAGCGGGGCCAGGAAGGGAAAUGUCAGAGCACUGGUUCUGAGUCACUACACUGACCGCCCACCUCCAGCUUAUAAAGGGUUGGAUAGGCCCAGGGAGGAAGCAGGAAUUCUGAAGUCGAUUUCUGCAGGAGAAACAUGCACUGUAGAGCCCACCCCAGGCCCCCCUGGGAGAAGGGAGGGGUGCUUUGCUCUUUUCUCACAUCAGCUGAGGGGGGCCAUUUGCAGGACCUGAAGGGUGGUUCCUAGAGCCAGGAAGACACAGGGGUGACUGAGGCAUGCCUGGAAAUCUACAGGGGAGGCUGUGGCUGUUAGUGGCUGGGCUUUCCACGAAGGGCUCUAUUUGAGAGCGAGGAGACCUUCUGACUUGCACCUCAUAAAUGUCAUCGAGGAUGGCUCUAGCCCCACACGGUCUGGGCAGGAAGUGCCCUGCUCAGCGCCUUUCCCAGAAGGACUUGGUGCCGCGGUGGUGAGCAACAGAUGCCGGCCCUGACCACAACGGAGUUCACUGCCAGGACACGGCCCUCACAAGAUGAAGGAAAAGGUGAGGAAGCUACCUGUAAAGGACAGAAGCCGGGGAGGCCUUGGGAACCCAAAAACGGACACCGAUUGAGAGUCUCAUCCAGCCACUGCAGGGAUGUGUCAGCCUCCACCCCUUCUCUGCUUUUUCCUCCUUCCAUUAAAGGGUCAGAGUCCCAGGAGAGUGUGCCCGGGGGCGGGGGGGGGGGUUGCCCUCCGCCUGCAGGGAGGACAGACCCUGGUUCCAACUCCCAUAGGCAAACUGUGUGCUGGUCCCCGAAUCCAGGGAAGUAGAGGCAGGCUCUUUGGGAGGGAGGUCUGGAUGCUCAUUUCCUGGAGGCCCUCCACAGCUCCCAAGAGCCCCUUCCUCCCUGGUUAGAGAUUCCUAUGCUCUGAAUCUCAGAUGGAAGCAGGGCUGCCGAAGAGUUCCAGGGGGUCACUGGGGCCCCAGUCUAGACGCACCUCCUGCAGCCAGCAUCUGCCUGGCUCGGCUGCGGGCCUCACACGCUGCCUCGCUGGGGACGUGCGCUUCACCCUUUCACCCCUGCUGACACGUGGGUUAUGCAAGCAGGGCCCUAAGUCUGUUCUUAACCUCGUAAUUUUUUUUUUCUAAAAGGGAAAAACACUAUUUUAGUCACUGUUUUGCAGAGAGAAAAAAGUCCUGUUUGUCCUUAUGAUUCAUGUUGGUGGUUUUUGGAUGAUGUUGUAUUGAUUCACGACGACUCACUCAGCAUCUGGUAUGAAUUAAGUGGGACUUUCUCUUGGUGACAGUAAAAUGAAAGAUCUUAAACAGGACUAACAUUAAAAGGAGCCUGGUGGGAACCCAGAGUUUGAGCAAUCUUCAGGGCUUGAGUCUGUUCAAUCAGAUGCUGCACAGUCUCAGCAAGGUUAGCAAAAAGCGACAUGUGGCUUCAGUGUGGUGCUGCUCAUGACGUAAUGUCUGAUCCUCACUUUUGCGCCGAUGACUCCUUGCGGGUCAAACUGUUUCCCAUAAUGUGUUGUUUUAUCCUGUAGCCAUUAUCCCAAUUAGACCCAUGGGGGAUGUAGGGGGUCCUGAGGUUUCUCUGGUUUGUUCCAAGACGCUUCCCAUAGAGAAUCCCAGAGCCUCUCCAGUGGUUCUGAAUGAGGGAUGAUUUUAGCACCCCAAGGAGCAUCUGGCAACAUCUGGAGACGUUUUUGGCUGCCACAGCUGGCAUCUAGUGUGUAGAGGGCAGGGAUGCUGCUGAACAUUCUACAGUGCACAGAACAGUUUCCACAGCAAAGAAUUUUCCAGCCCCAGAUGUCAAUAGUGCUGAGGUUGAGAAACUGCUCUAAUCCAAACCAACCCUUAAUCCCAAGUGACUUGAUGGUUUCAGGUCACUGACUUAAUGAAAAGACCUCUAGUUAUGGUAAGAAAAGAAAAGAAAAAAAAAACCUGAAAAAACAAAAACAAAAAAAAACACAAACAGAUCUUUUGUUUAAAAAGUAUGCAGUUGAAAAAA